AGUCGAACGGAAACGAUGGAAGCUUGCUUCCAGGCGUCGAGUGGCGGACGGGUGAGUAACGCGUAGGAAUCUGCCUGAUAGUGGGGGAUAGCCCGGAGAAAUCCGGAUUAAUACCGCAUAGUCUAUUCGUAGUAAAGGGGGCCUCUAUUUAUAAGCUCUCGCUAUCAGAUGAGCCUGCGUCAGAUUAGCUUGUUGGUGAGGUAAAAGCUCACCAAGGCAACGAUCUGUAGCUGGUCUGAGAGGAUGAUCAGCCACACUGGGACUGAGACACGGCCCAGACUCCUACGGGAGGCAGCAGUGGGGAAUAUUGGACAAUGGGGGAAACCCUGAUCCAGCAAUGCCGCGUGUGUGAAGAAGGCCCUAGGGUUGUAAAGCACUUUUAGUAGUGAGGAAGGCUCAGUAGUUAAUACCUGCUGGGAUUGACGUUAGCUACAGAAAAAGCACCGGCUAAUUUCGUGCCAGCAGCCGCGGUAAUACGAAAGGUGCAAGCGUUAAUCGGAAUUACUGGGCGUAAAGCGCGCGUAGGCGCCUUGGUAAGUUGGAUGUGAAAGCCCCGGGCUCAACCUGGGAACUGCAUCCAAAACUGCCUAGCUAGAGUAUGGUAGAGGAUGGCGGAAUUUCCUGUGUAGCGGUGAAAUGCGUAGAUAUAGGAAGGAAUACCGAUGGCGAAGGCAGCUUUCUGGACUAAUACUGACACUGAGGUACGAAAGCGUGGGUAGCAAACAGGAUUAGAUACCCUGGUAGAAGGGC
rnacentral:rRNA from 1 species